rnacentral:rRNA from 1 species
GACGAACGCUGGCGGCGUGCUUAACACAUGCAAGUCGAGCGGUAAGGCCCUUUCGGGGGGUACACGAGCGGCGAACGGGUGAGUAACACGUGGGUGACCUGCCCUCAGCUCUGGGAUAAGCCUGGGAAACCGGGUCUAAUACUGGAUAUGACUCCAUGACGCAUGUUGUGGGGUGGAAAGCCUUGUGCGGCUGAGGAUGGGCCCGCGGCCUAUCAGCUUGUUGGUGGGGUGANGGCCUACCAAGGCGACGACGGGUAGCCGGCCUGAGAGGGCGACCGGCCACACUGGGACUGAGACACGGCCCAGACUCCGUACGGGAGGCAGCAGUGGGGGAAUCUUGCGCAAUGGGCGAAAGCCUGACGCAGCGACGCCGCGUGAGGGAUGACGGCCU